AGCGAACGCUGGCGGCAGGCCUAACACAUGCAAGUCGAACGAACCUUUCGGGGUUAGUGGCGGACGGGUGAGUAACACGUGGGAACUUGCCUUUAGGUUCGGAAUAACUCAGGGAAACUUGUGCUAAUACCGAAUGUGCCCUUCGGGGGAAAGAUUUAUCGCCUUUAGAGCGGCCCGCGUCUGGUUAGCUAGUUGGUUGAGGUAAUGGCUCACCAAGGCGACGAUCAGUAGCUGGUCUGAGGGGAUGAUCAGCCACAUUGGGACUGAGACACGGCCCAAACCCCGACGGGGGGCAGCAGUGGGGAAUCUUGCGCAAUGGGCGAAAGCCUGACGCAGCCAUGCCGCGUGAAUGAUGAAGGUCUUAGGAUUGUAAAAUUCUUUCACCGGGGACGAUAAUGACGGUACCCGGAGAAGAAGCCCCGGCUAACUUCGUG
rnacentral:rRNA from 1 species